ACACACACACACACACCUCAACACAACACACACACCCCACUCUCCACCUCUGUUGUGUAUACCCUGUCUGUUUUUUUUGUGUGUGUGUCCAUGUCUGCCUGUCUUUGUCUGCCUGUAUCUUUAUCUGGUUCCCUGUCUAUCUGUCCGUCUGUUUGUCUGUCUCUCUGUUUCUCAACGCAACACACAAUAGGUCGGCAUUAUAAGAUACUUUUGCUUCACACAUCAGCUAUUUCGAAAGGUCAAAGAGGGGUUCUGUCGGGUUCUAGUGAGUGUUUCUCUAGGUUCACGGUACAGAGGAAGGGUUAAACUACCAACAGGGUCAUAAAACUACUCCUUGAAAUGUCCUCAAACUCCUACGAAAGCCUUGUCAAAUGUGUGUUUCUCUAGGUUCACGGUACUGAGGAAGGGUCAAACUACCACCAGGGUCAUAAAACUACUCCUUGAAAUGUCCUCAAACUCCUACGAAAGCCUUGUCAAAUGUGUGUUUCUCUAGGUUCACGGUACAGAGGAAGGGUCAAACUACCACCAGGGUCAUAAAACUACUCCUUGAAAUGUCCUCAAACUCCUACGAAAGCCUUGUCAAAUGUGUGUUUCUCUAGGUUCACGGUACAGAGGAAGGGUCAAACUACCACCAGGGUCAUAAAACUACUCCUGGAAAUGCCCCAAACUCCUACGAAAGCCUUGUCAAAUGUGUGUUUCUCUAGGUUCACGGUACAGAGGAAGGGUCAAACUACCACCAGGGUCAUAAAACUACUCCUGGAAAUGCCCCAAACUCCUACGAAAGCCUUGUCAAAUGUGUGUUUCUCUAGGUUCACGGUACUGAGGAAGGGUCAAACUACCACCAGGGUCAUAAAACUACUCCUGGAAAUGCCCCAAACUCAUACGAAAGCCUUGUCAAAUGUGUGUUUCUCUAGGUUCACAGUACAGAGGAAGGGUCAAACUACCACCAGGUUCAUAAAACUACCCCUGGAAAUGCCCACAACACAUACGAGAGCCUUAUGUGAACUUGGGAGACUAAAUGUUUUGAAAUUCGACCCUCACACACACUCCACGC